UUUACCUGAAUAUUACGGGUUAAUAAUUUAUAUGAAUAGGUAUUGAAUAUUUGUAAAAUUAUUUGUCACUUAAAACUUAAAAAACUUGGCGGUGCUUUAUUUCCUUCCAGGGGAACCUGUCCUGUAAUCGAUGAUCCACGAUUUAACUUACUUUUUUUUGAAUUAUUAAUAAUUAAAUUAUCAGUUUGUAUACCGUCGUCGUCAGAUUACCUUUAAGAGUAAAAAAGUUGUCAUUUAAAAUAUAAAGUGUUACUUCGGUAGAUUUUAACAUUUUUGGCUUCUGAUGUCAGAUCAAGGUGCAGCUCAUAGAAAAGUAGAGAUGGGUUACAAUAUAAAUUUUAUAUAAUGGAUGCUAAUGUGUAAUAAUUAGAUGAAAGUGGACUUGGGAGUAAUAUAAUUUAUAUUUUUAUUUAAAUUAGAUAGUUUAUGUGAAUAAAGGUACUAAAGUGCGUACACAUCGC
rnacentral:rRNA from 1 species